GAGUUUGAUCCUGGCUCAGGAUGAACGCUGGCGGCACGCUUAACACAUGCAAGUCGAACGGAGCAAAAUCACCGCAGCUUGCUGCACCGAUUUUGUUUGGUGGCGGACGGGUGAGUAACACGUGAGCAAUCUGCCUUUCAGAGGGGGAUACCGGUUGGAAACGACUGUUAAUACCGCAUGACAUUAUCUGAUCGCAUGGUUGGAUAAUCAAAGAUUUAUCGCUGAAAGAUGAGCUCGCGUCUGAUUAGCUGGUUGGUAAGGUAACGGCUUACCAAGGCGACGAUCAGUAGCCGGACUGAGAGGUUGAACGGCCACAUUGGGACUGAGACACGGCCCAGACUCCUACGGGAGGCAGCAGUGGGGAAUAUUGGGCAAUGGGCGCAAGCCUGACCCAGCGAUGCCGCGUGAGGGAAGAAGGUUUUCGGAUUGUAAACCUCUGUUGUCAGGGACGAAAGAGAUGACGGUACCUGACGAGGAAGCUCCGGCUAACUACGUGCCAGCAGCCGCGGUAAUACGUAGGGAGUAAGCGUUAUCCGGAAUUACUGGGUGUAAAGGGAGUGUAGGCGGGACAGUAAGUCAGAUGUGAAAAGUAGGGGCUCAACCCCUAACGUGCAUUUGAAACUGCAGUUCUUGAGUGAAGUAGAGGUAAGCGGAAUUCCUAGUGUAGCGGUGAAAUGCGUAGAUAUUUAGGAGGAACAUCAGUGGCGAAGGCGGCUUACUGGGCUUUAACUGACGCUGAGGCUCGAAAGCGUGAGGAGCAAACAAGAUUAGAUACCCUGGUAGUCCAGGCCGUAAACGAU
rnacentral:rRNA from 1 species